rnacentral:rRNA from 1 species
AGGACGAACGCUGGCGGCGUGCUUAACACAUGCAAGUCGAGCGGAAAGGCCCUUCGGGGUACUCGAGCGGCGAACGGGUGAGUAACACGUGAGUAAUCUGCCCCUAGCUCUGGGAUAGCUCCGGGGAACCGGGAUUAAUACCAGAUACGACCACUUUAGACAUCUGCUGUGGUGGAAAGAAUUUCGGCUAGGGAUGAGCUCGCGGCCUAUCAGCUUGUUGGUGAGGUAACGGCUCACCAAGGCGACGACGGGUA